UACGAAGGGUGCAAACGUUGCUCGGAAUUAUUGGGCGUAAAGCGCACGUAGGCGGCUCUGCAAGUCGGAUGUGAAAUCCCUCGGCUCAACCAAGGAAGUGCAUCCGAAACUGCGGAGCUUGAGUACUUAAGAGGAUCGCGGAAUUCCCGGUGUAGAGGUGAAAUUCGUAGAUAUCGGGAGGAACACCAGUGGCGAAGGCGGCGAUCUGGGGAGAUACUGACGCUGAGGUGCGAAGGCGUGGGGAGCAAACAGG
rnacentral:rRNA from 1 species